rnacentral:rRNA from 1 species
GACGAACGCUGGCGGCGUGCUUAACACAUGCAAGUCGAACGGAAAGGCCCCAGCUUGCUGGGGUACUCGAGUGGCGAACGGGUGAGUAACACGUGGGUGAUCUGCCCUGCACUCUGGGAUAAGCCUGGGAAACUGGGUCUAAUACCGGAUAGGACCGUGCUUUAGUGUGUGCGGUGGAAAGUUUUUCGGUGCAGGAUGAGCCCGCGGCCUAUCAGCUUGUUGGUGGGGUAAUGGCCUACCAAGGCGGCGACGGGUAGCCGGCCUGAGAGGGUGUACGGCCACAUUGGGACUGAGACACGGCCCAGACUCCUACGGGAGGCAGCAGUGGGGAAUAUUGCACAAUGGGCGCAAGCCUGAUACAGCGACGCCGCGUGGGGGAUGACGGCCUUCGGGUUGUAAACCCCUUUCGGCAGGGACGAAGCUUUUGUGACGGUACCUGCAUAAGAAGCACCGGCUAACUACGUG